GGGGCGUAGCGCAGACCGGUAGCGCACUCGCUUGGGGUGCGAGUGGUCGUGGGUUCAAAUC
rnacentral:tRNA from 1 species